CGCAAGUUUUGGCGUUAAUUAUCACGCGUUGGUGUUGGGAUCACGCUCAAAUUAAAUAAAAACGACUUGUCAAAAAUGGCUGUGCAAUGUGUGAAUAAAUGGACAGGAAUCAUUGAAAUAUGUACACACGGAUGUUGUCAAGACAUUGGCCCGAAUUAUAACAGAUAUACUUCAAACCAAUGUUGUAGUGUUCCGAGAAAAGGCAUGACUGGGCUUUGUAUCGUUAUUCCAACUUUGGUACUUGUUGCUGUGAUUAUCGGCAUUGUCUUAGUGUACAGACGAAGGUAUCGGCAGCAACCCGAAUUAAACGAAAAUCUUCACGAGCGAACCCCGGCCACGCGCCACACACGCUGCGUCUGCAACACUGGAUCCUGAUUGGUGUAGGGCGGGGUUAACCGAAGGUUAGCAUAAUUAUGACUGACGGCUGGACAUUACAUCAAUC